rnacentral:rRNA from 1 species
UACGAAGGGGGCUAGCGUUGCUCGGAAUCACUGGGCGUAAAGGGUGCGUAGGCGGGUCUUUAAGUCAGGGGUGAAAUCCUGGAGCUCAACUCCAGAACUGCCUUUGAUACUGAAGAUCUUGAGUUCGGGAGAGGUCAGUGGAAUUGGGGGUGUAGCGGUGGAAUGCGUAGAGAUCCCCAAGAACACCAGUUGCGAAGGCGGCUGACUGGACACAUAUUGACGCUGAGGCUCGAAAGCAUGGGGAGCAAACAGG